GGGGAUUUAGCUCAGUGGUAGAGCGCUUGCCUAGCAAGCACGCAAGGCCCUGGGUUCGGUCCCCAGCUCCCA
rfam:Rattus norvegicus chromosome 10, whole genome shotgun sequence.